rnacentral:rRNA from 1 species
AACGCACCUUGCGCCCUUUGGCCAUUCCGAAGGGCAUGCCUGUUUGAGUAUCAUGAACACCUCAACUCUUCAUGGUUUUCCAUGAUGAGCUUGGACUUUGGGGGGUUUUGCUGGCCCUAUGGUCGGCUCCUCUAAAAUGAAUCAGCUUGCCCAGUGUUUGGUGGGCAUCACAGGUGUGAUAACUAUCUACGCUUGUGGUUUUCCACCAGGUAACCUUCAGCAGUGGAGGUUCGCUGGAGCUCACAGACGUCUCUCCUUGGUGAGGACAACCCUUUGAAUGUUUGAUCUCAAAUCAGGUAGGACUACCCGCUGAACUUAA